GAAUAUUGCGCAAUGGGGGAAACCCUGACGCAGCGACGCCGCGUGAGCGAAGAAGGCCUUAGGGUUGUAAAGCUCUGUUUUAGGGGACGAAUGUCGUGGGGAGUAAUAUGACCUACGAAUGACGGUACCCUAAGAGGAAGCCCCGGCUAACUACGUGCCAGCAGCCGCGGUAAGACGUAGGGGGCGAGCGUUGUCCGGAAUUACUGGGCGUAAAGAGCACGUAGGCGGGAACCUAAGUCAGGUGUGAAAGACCGUGGCUCAACCGCGGGGUGGCAUUUGAAACUGGGUUUCUUGAGGGCAGGAGAGGAAAGCAGAAUUCCUGGUGUAGCGGUGAAAUGCGUAGAAAUCAGGAGGAAUACCAGUGGCGAAGGCGGCUUUCUGGACUGACCCUGACGCUGAGGUGCGAAAG
rnacentral:rRNA from 1 species